UACGGUGGGGGCAAGCGUUGUUCGGAAUUACUGGGCGUAAAGGGCUCGUAGGUGGCCAACUAAGUCGGACGUGAAAUCCCUCAGCUUAACUGGGGAACUGCGUCCGAUACUGGAUGGCUUGAGUUCGGGAGAGGGAUGCGGAAUUCCGGGUGUAGUGGUGGAAUGCGUAGAGAUCCGGAGGAACACCAGCGGCGAAGGCGGCAUCCUGGACUGGUCCUGACACUCAGGAGCGAAAGCGUGGGGAGCGAUCCGG
rnacentral:rRNA from 1 species